rnacentral:lncRNA from 1 species
GGGGGCUCGUUCUAACCAAGAGACGAGGGCAAAGCUAAGGAGAGGUGUGAUUGUGUGCAUGUGAUUAUGUCACACAAGAUUGUUGCAGCCCUCUUGUCAGGAUGCCUCCUCCCCUGCUGGCUUUGAAGAAAAGCAGGUGCCGCAGUGUGAACUGCCUACGGAGAGGGUGAGAUUUCCGAGAUACCAGCUGACACCAAGCAAGAAGCGGAGCCCUCUGCCUGACACCUGUAAAGAACUGAAUUCUGUCCAAACCACAUGAACUUGCAAGCAGGUGGAUUCUGCCCCAGUCAGGCCUCAGAUGAGACCCCAGCCCUGGCCAACCCCUCGACUGAAGCCCUGCAGAGAGUCAGGCUCAGACUCCUUUGAGAAACUGAAGCAUAAAUGAGCAUUGUUUUAAGAUGAUAUUUUAUUGUGAGGCAGCUCAUAUAAGAUCUAUAGGUGAAGAGUCCUGUAUGGGAUGGUUAGGGGACAUGAAAACGUAUAAGGAACUCAGCACUUCACGAGCUCCCUGGCAGUGAAGGUGAGAAAGGAAACUCAGCAAGUUUUCACCAUUUGACAACAGGAAAGAAAUCUUUCUAAAGAGGCCACUUGGCUCGUGAUUCUAAGAAGAACUUGUCAUGUGGGCAACAGAAUCUACAACCAGAGCGUAGUGUCUGUAGGGCCUGGACCUACUGCAGUUCAAGAUCCUUCCUCAUCCAGCCUUCCUUCCUGCCCGAGCUCUUGGCACAUUGCACCCUCCUCUUUGCUGCCCUCUUCCGGGACUGCCCUUCUCCCUUUUCUGCCUGUUGACUCCCACAUUCAAGGACCAGCUUGGUCCUGUGGCCUCUUCUGCAAAGGCUUCCUCAGUUCCCUAGCAGAAAUAACUCUUUCCUCCUGAUCUCCCAAAUCUGUGUUAUCAAGACAUCAUGUCAUAUUUUUAACUUCUGAUUUAUUUUUUAUUGAGCACCUACUAAAUGCUAGGCCUCCUGUUGGGUGCAAAAGAUAGAGUCACAAAUAACAGCAGCAGGCUCUCCUUAGGGCCUACAGCCUGGCCCCUCCUCUCCUCUUUUUGGGGCCAGUUCCUCUCUGCAUCCUCGGAGCUCAGCCCGGCAGACAGCAGCCACGAGUCUCCAUGUUGGUUAAAUCCUUGGGAUUUAGUGACUUGAAUUUUAGCCUGACAUCUUGGCCUGACUUUGGGUUCUAGAAGGACCACUCAGCACUCUGUCCAUCCUCGGGGCCCUGCCUCUGCCCAGCCCCCAUCUCCAUUCCCCCGGAUGUUGCUGCACUGAGGCCACCGCGAUGACACAUCUCCAGGCUCUGAUCUCUUCCUCAACCCGACAGCUCGGCCCAGGCAGUUUCCAGCUGAUGGUAUGGGAUUAAUAAAGACUGUAGGAAGCCUUUGUUCUUAAAAAAG